rnacentral:misc_RNA from 1 species
ACAAACUUGGUCAUUUAGAGGAAGUAAAAGUCGUAACAAGGUUUCCGUAGGUGAACCUGCGGAAGGAUCAUUAAUCAAUCUUUUUUCAUCUUUUGAUGAAAAAACACUUUGUGUGCAUUCAUGCUUUAUAGAAAGUUAGCAGGGUUUUGAAAAAAGGCUUUGCAACUUUUUUUUUAUAUACACCGUUAUCUGAUAUAUAUAAUAAAGUAAAAUUUUAUAUACUUAUACAACUUUCAACAACGGAUCUCUUGGCUCUCGCAUCGAUGAAGAACGCAGC